rnacentral:rRNA from 1 species
UACGUAGGGUGCGAGCGUUAAUCGGAAUUACUGGGCGUAAAGCGUGCGCAGGCGGUUUUGUAAGCCAGAUGUGAAAGCCCCGGGCUUAACCUGGGAAUGGCAUUUGGGACUGCAAGGCUAGAGUCGCGGCAGAGGAGACUGGAAUUCCUGGUGUAGCAGUGAAAUGCGUAGAUAUCAGGAGGAAUACCGAUGGCGAAGGCAGGUCUCUGGGCUGACACUGACGCUCAUGCACGAAAGCGUGGGGAGCAAACAGG